ensembl:misc_RNA Metazoa_SRP Metazoan signal recognition particle RNA
GCUAGGCGUGCUAGCGUGUGCCUGUAGUCCCAGCUACUUGGGAGGCUGAAGUAGGAGGAUGGCUUGUGCCCAGGAGGUCAAGGCUGCUGUGAGCUGUGCCACUGCACUCUAGCCUGGGCAAUAUAGAGCAAGACCCAGUUUCAA